CUGCUUAAUUCAGCAGCAUAUAUACUAAAAUUGGAGUGACACAGAGAAGACUAGCAUGGUCCCCACACACAGAUGACACAUAAAUUCGUGAAGUGUUCCCUAUUUAA
ensembl:snRNA U6 U6 spliceosomal RNA